ACGUAGGAGGCAAACGUUAUCCGGAUUUACUGGGCGUAAAGCGCGUGUAGGUGGUUUGGUAAGUAGAGCGUGAAAGCUCCUGGCUCAACUGGGAGAGGUCGUUCUAAACUGCCGGACUAGAGGAUGGUAGAGGGAGGUGGAAUUCCGGGUGUAGCGGUGGAAUGCGCAGAUAUCCGGAGGAACACCAGUGGCGAAGGCGGCCUCCUGGACCGUACUUGACGCUCAGCCGCGAAAGUUUGGGUAGCAAACGG
rnacentral:rRNA from 1 species